rnacentral:rRNA from 1 species
GGGUCAGUAGGUUGGUCGUGCCACAGGUACGUACUGGUCUCACUGAUUCCUCCUUCCUGAAGAACCGUAAUGCCAUUAAUUUGGUGUUGCGGGGAAACAGGACUGUUACUUUGAAAAAAUUAGAGUGUUUAAAGCAAGCUAACGCUUGAAUACAUUAGCAUGGAAUAAUGAAAUAGGACGAUCGAUCCUAUUUUGUUGGCUUCUAGGAUUGACGUA